GACUUCUUAUAACGCAUAAUUAGAAGAGAUACCUCUAGUCUUCAAGUGCAGCAGUAUGACAAGGAUUUAGGAUGGCUGGGGUUCUAGUGCUCCCUCUUCCCCUUCACUCGUUAGCAAACCACUGUCAACGUCAAGUUCCACAUCUGUAAAAUAGGGAAAUACUAUCUGGGUUAUAAUGAGGACUUUAAGAGAUUACUACUUAAACACCGCUUUUUAAAGAGGCUGAUAAUAGGAGUUCAAUACAACGUUAAUUUACUUUCUCCAUCUUACUCUUCUCGAUUCUGUGUUAAUUUCCCACCAUUAUUUUAAUUUUGUUAUCCUAUUAUUUCAGAAAAAUGUUAUUAUUUCUCCAAUUUUUCAUCACAAUCGUUAUCAGAACACACAGCCAUAUUGUAAAAUAACCAAAACGGGCAGUGAUACUUGUAAAUUUGUUUUAUAACAAGCAUAACCAAAUGCUGAAGAAAUACAGAGGUGAAAUCAGCCUUCAUCAUUUUCUACCCCAUGGCAUCACUACAAACUACUAAAUUGCUGGUCAUUUAUCCCAAAAUUCAUCAAAGAGUCUCCGAAUUCAAUAAUUAUCUUCUAAAAAUAUUUACCGCAUGCUGCUAUAUGCCAAGUAGUGAACUAGGCCCUGGAGACCAUAGUCUCUGCCCUCAUAAUCAGUCAUCAUCUCAACCCUGAUUUGAGCCAUUAUCCUAGGGAAAAUAAACACAUACCAAUUGUUUUAUUUGCACUCGGUAAUCACUACUAUAUUCUUUUAGAAUUAGAAAGAAGGUCUUUUUAUCUGCUGAGCAUCUUGAUUAAGUUUGAGGAAUGGAAACUAAAGAAAGCUGAAGUGCUUUAAAUUAUAAUGGGAAAUGAAUUCAAAUUCUUACGAAAUAAUCCAAAAGAUGGGAAGGGAGUCAGUGAGGUAGAAUGCCGGCAGCUGGAUGGGAAAAAAUCCAAAUAGCAACCCAGGGUGACUGGAUAGCGAAAAAGGAUUUUGAAAGCAAAAAUGGCUAAUAUGGAUACAGAGAUUCUUGCUCUGCAAUGAGCAUUAUGAUCCUUACCAGGGUCUUAAGGAAAGUCUCCAUUACUCACAAAUGCUUAGUCUGGGUGAGUUAUUUUGGUGGAGAUGUGUGAAAUGGCUGAAUUAAGCAUCCAUGGCAAUGUGAAUAAAAGUGAAUAAAAAGGCAACACAUGUAGGGAGAUGAGUCUAGAAAGCAGCUGAAAUCAUGAGAAUCUCAUCCUCCCAGGAAUUUUUAGAAAUCUUGGAUGGGCUUUGGACUUCCACAAGAUAUGAAAUUUGAGUGUUUUCAUCAAUUUUAACCCAGAUGUCAAAAAACAUUUUAACCUAGAUGUCCAGUUGACAUGUAAACCCCAUGUGGAUAGGGAUUUUGUGUAUCUUGUUCACUGCUGUAUACCCAGACUUAGGCCUAGAGUGGAAAACAAGACAGAUAAAGUCCCUGUACUCAUGAAGCUUCAAUAAAGAAGAAAGAAUCUCAGAGAUGCUAAGAAGUGUUUGCCAUCCAGGUGUGGGCGUUAACUAAUUCUCACCAAUGAAAUGUGAGCAGAAGUAGUGUGUGCCACUUCCAAGGCAAGAUUUUAAAGAAGCCUCUCACUGUUGUGGCCUCUCCCGUUGCAGAGCACAGGCUCCGGACGCGCAGGCUCAGCGGCCAUGACUCACGAGCCCAGCUGCUCCGCGGCAUGUGGGAUCUUCCCGGACCGGGGCACGCCUCCUUCUUUGCAAUCCUUCUUUGAUUAUGUGGACUACCUUAAGUAAAUAUCCUUUCUAGACUAGUAGAACUUGACUUUUGGUUGGCUGUACACUAAGGACUCCAGCUGAUACAUAAUUAUGUUCCCCUUAGAAGUUUUGAUAGCACCUUCAUAUUUUCUUACUGUUUUCUUUGUCUUUUGUUUGGGAUGCUUCCCGACCAGGGAUCAAACCCACGCCCCCUACAGUGGAAGCACAGAUUCUUAACCACUGGACCACCAGGGAAGUCCCUUACUUUCUCAACAAUACAAUGCUGUGAUGUCUAGAUAAAGCAUAUAUUAUUAUUAUAUUAUACAGAUGCCAAAACUGAAUCACAACACAAUUAAAUGUUUUAUCCAAGGUUGCAAAGUUAAAAACGGCAAAUACAUCACUUUAAUCGUGGUUCUUAUUUUAAGAAACCAUUUCCACUAUGCCAACUUUCUAAUAUCAAGUUUGGGAAGUAUAUAGUGAGACAAAAACACGACAUCCAUGUAUGCUUAAGGCUGUGAAAAUGUUUAUAAGAAAAUACCUAAACACAAGCUCCCUGCACUCACUUGUGGUUUUCUCUGCCACUCAUCCAAAAACACAUGUUCACCAUGUUUUCCUUUCCCUCUGUCAUCAUGACAAACAAUGUUCCAGAUAGUGGCUACUCUCUCAAUCUGAGUCCUGGAGUGGAUGAUAGCCAGUGUCAGGCUGUAACUGAUGUGCUCUAGCACACUGCUUUAGGAUGUAAGGGGAACAUGGCAUAUGCUACAUAGUUCUGCACUGCUGGGCCUCUUGAAAACACUAGGAGUUCUUGUAGGCUUUACUAAAGCUCCAAGAUAGGAAUUUCUGUUUUAACAUCCCAUUUAUACUGUUUUCUUUUUCAUUUUUUUUUCUUACGGGUAUAUAGUUGCUUUACAAUGUUCUCUUAGUUUCAGGUGUAUGGCAAAGUGAGUUAUACAUAUAUAAAUACAUAUCCACUCUUUUUUGGAUCCUUUUCCCAUAUAGGCUCAUUACAAAGUACUGAGUAGAGUUCCCUGUGCUAUACAGUAGGUCCUUAUUAGUUAUCUAUUUUAUAUAUAGUAGUGUGUAUAUGUCAAUCCAAUCUCCCAAUUAAUCACUCCCUCGCCUUACCCCCUAGUAACCAUAGUGUGUUUUUAUAUCUGUAACUAUUUCUGUUUUGUAGAUAAGUUCAUUUGUACCCUCUUUUUAUAUUCCUCAUAAAACUGAUAUCAUAUGA